rnacentral:rRNA from 1 species
CCUACGGGGGGCAGCAGUGGGGAAUAUUGCGCAAUGGGCGAAAGCCUGACGCAGCGACGCCGCGUGAGGGAUGAAGGUCUUCGGAUCGUAAACCUCUGUCAGCAGGGAAGAACGGUCACUGUGCUAAUCAGCAGUGAAUUGACGGUACCUGCAAAGGAAGCACCGGCUAACUCCGUGCCAGCAGCCGCGGUAAUACGGAGGGUGCGGGCGUUGAUCGGAUUUACUGGGCGUAAAGCUCUCGUAGGCGGUAUGUCAAGUCAAGGGUGAAAUCCCCGCGCUCAACGUGGGAACGGCCUUUGAAACUGGCAAACUGGAGUGUGUGAGAGGAUAGUGGAAUUCCAGGUGUAGGGGUGAAAUGCGUAGAUAUCUGGAGGAACAUCAGUGGCGAAGGCGACUAUCUGGCACAUAACUGACGCUGAGGAGCGAAAGCGUGGGUAGCAAACAGGAUUAGAUACCCCUGUAGUC